GAUGAACGCUGGCUACAGGCUUAACACAUGCAAGUCGUGGGGAAACGGCAUUAUGUGCUUGCACAUUCUGGACGUCGACCGGCGCACGGGUGAGUAUCGCGUAUCCAACCUGCCCCUUUACUUGGGGAUACCCCGUCGAAAGACGGCCUAAUACCCGAUGUGUUUCAUUGACGGCAUCCGAUAUGAAACAAAGGUUUUCCGGUAAGGGAUGGGGAUGCGUCUGAUUAGCUUGUUGGCGGGGCAACGGCCCACCAAGGCGACGAUCAGUAGGGGUUCUGAGAGGAAGGUCCCCCACAUUGGAACUGAGACACGGUCCAAACUCCUACGGGAGGCAGCAGUGAGGAAUAUUGGUCAAUGGACGCAAGUCUGAACCAGCCAAGUAGCGUGCAGGAUGACGGCCCUAUGGGUUGUAAACUGCUUUUAUGUGGGAAUAAAGUGGCGCACGUGUGCGCCGUUGCAUGUACCUCAUGAAU
rnacentral:rRNA from 1 species